ensembl:lncRNA
GCUGGGUGGGGCUUCACCCAUUGAACAUCUGGAGCUGAGUUCCCCCUGCAGAAGGAAACAGAGCUGGCCCAGGCACGAGUGCUCACUCGUGUUGUGCCCGAGCGUGUGGUGCCAAGUGCGAUAGCCGUUACCCGCCAAGGCCAGGGCAGUUUCAUUAGAAACCCUUAUUUUCGGAAUUUUAUAACCCGGCCACAAAAAUGCACUGCAGGCAAAAAUGCUAGCUUACGUCUGGAACUCAAUGGGUUUAUUUUAUAAAUUUUUAUGCAUUUUCCACACAUAAACAAAUGGCCAGAGAGACCAUUCUUUCAUGGAAGGCUGGCGGGAGGAACACUGAGACAGGACUGGCUAGCAGGGUGGGGGCCCCCUGGGCAUUUCCAUGGCAACUUUCCUCUGGCCUUUCACAGGUCUCUAACUCCGUCCUGACCCGAGCUUUUGAAAGCUCCGUUGGGCCUGUUGCUAUUCCAAGUUGUUUUACGUGCAUUCUUAAAAUUCAUUUUUUAUUAUUAACUGACACAUAAAAAUGGAGUCUAUUUACGGGGUCCCAUGCGAUGCCUUGAUCCAUGGACGCACUGUGGAAUGUCCAAUCAGGGCAACGGAUCUGUCACCUUGUGCCUUUAACAUUUUUUUAUGGCAAAAACCCUCCAAAUCCAGACUUCUACUUUUUCUUGGAGAACUGCACAGCGCCCCCUUAAUCCAUCCUCCUCCUCCCGGAAACUGAGAGCCAGGGCCCGAGUCCCAUCUGUCACUCGCUACCUGUGAAAUGCGCUUCGGCCAGUCCCCAAAUGGCACCUCCUCCUGCUGCACGGCAGUGGUGGGGUGAAUAAGUGUCCCCCCGAAGUUCGUAUCCGCUCAGCCCUGGGACGCGACCUGCUUUGGACCUGGGCUCCCUGGAGACGGAAUCAAGUGGGCACUGUCCCUGGUCGCCGAGCCGCCCGGAUCCAGGUGGGCGCUGUGUGACCAGGGGACACUCUGCGACCACAAGACACAGCCAAGUGUGUUCUCAGGCCACCCUGAGCCGGCGCACCCCAACCCCACGUCCCAGCAGGGCCUCGUGGCAGAAGCAGGCCACCCUUCUGUCGCGCGGCCAGGAACGAGGCAGCCACGCGGUGCGUCUCAGUCCCCGAUGGAUCAUCUCAAGUGCCGCGUGGACAGACAGGGCCUCGGAGCGCAGGUACCGCAUUCUGCGCUGCUGCUCAGUGAGCCGGGACGGCUCUCCCGGUCCCGCAGCUGAAGACCUGGGCGGGACGGAAGGCCUGGGGAGGCUCCGUCUCCUGUCUCAGUGUCGGAGCCCUGGUGCCGGUCUCUGGAACAUUCCAGAGACUGAGCUCCAUGGUCACCCCUCCUUGGCCUGGGCAUUGCGACCUCCAUAAUCACUUCAUGAGCCAGUUCUUUAGUGUGCAUGUCGUGUGUAUGAAUAUGACGCGUUAAACAUAUAUAAGGUAUACACUACAGAUUGUGCAUAUUAUUAUACCAUAUCCUAUGGGCCUGUAUCAUAUAAUAAGCUAUAUUCUAAAAUUACAAUUUUAGAAUAUAUAUAUGGGUGCUUUUAAAAGUUCAUGGAAAACAUGUGUUAUGAAAAAACUAUGUAUGGACUUGAAAAUGUUCUUGCCCCAAAAUAAAGCUUCCCUGGGAGCAGGCCCUUCA